GGAUGUCUCUUUAGAGUGAAAAGGGCUUGAAAAAGGGGGAUAGAAGUUAGACUCCUGUCUGAGAAUAGAGGAUAAGAAAACCUACUAUAUAUCUAAAGGAAUUUGGAGAAACUAUGCAAAAGGAGAUCCCAUAAAACUUAAAAAGUUGAAGAAUAAAGAGAAAAAUAAAAAAUCUAAGACCCGUCUGAAAAGCUUCAUCAUAUAUAGCU
rnacentral:lncRNA from 1 species